AGGUUUGAGGACUGCUUCGGAUAGGGUCUGCUCGUGGCAGCAACGAUGAGAACUCGAGUUCUUUUGAACUGAGGCAAUCGCGCAAAUGUCCAAGCUUCGUGGUUUGGAAUCGGUGUUUCUUCCUUGGACCUCCGCUGAUGGUUUUCGUUUGUGUUUUCCUUGUUGUGCUUUAUGUUUUAUUUUAUUUUUCAUUGUAGUUUUCGGUCUUUCUGUCUUCCUUGUUUUCUCUGUAAUCUCUGUCACAAAUCUAAAAUCGG
rnacentral:lncRNA from 1 species